rnacentral:rRNA from 1 species
GACGAACCGUGCGAACGUUGUUCGGGAUCACUGGGCUUAAAGGGCGCGUAGGCGGGUCGGUAAGUCCGGGGUGAAAUCCUCCAGCUCAACUGGAGAAGUGCCUUGGAUACUGCCGGUCUUGAGGGAGGUAGGGGUCUGCGGAACUUCUGGUGGAGCGGUGAAAUGCGUUGAUAUCAGAAGGAACGCCGGUGGCGAAAGCGGCGGACUGGAUCUCUUCUGACGCUGAGGCGCGAAAGCUAGGGGAGCAAACGGGAUUAGAUACCCUAGUAGU